rnacentral:rRNA from 1 species
GCAAGUCGGACGUGAAAGCACUUCGGUGUGAGUAGAGUGGCGGACGGGUGAGUAACGCGUAGGAAUCUACCUAGUAGUGGGGGACAACAUGGUGAAAACCAUGCUAAUACCGCAUACGUCCUAAGGGAGAAAGGCCGGGAUCUUCGGACCGGUCGCUAUUAGAUGAGCCUGCGUAGGAUUAGCUAGUUGGUGGGGUAAAGGCCUACCAAGGCGACGAUCCUUAGCUGGUCUGAGAGGAUGAUC